UAUUUCAACAUGUUUGGAGCAUUUUUAAGUUUGGACCCCUGUAUAAUUCUUCAUUGAACCCUACCUGGCUACAGCUGCCAACCUGGGAUGGC